rnacentral:lncRNA from 1 species
AAUGGCGACGAAGGUAGCGGCUUAGUAAAGGCGGCUUAGUUAACUUCGUCUGCCUUUAGAUUAAGUUUUAAGUAGUUUUAAGUAGUUAUUUUAACCCCCCUCUGGGUUUUUAUUGUUUUAUUGUUUUUAGACUAAGCUUCAAGUAGUUCUAAGUAGUUUCUUUUAACCCCUCCGGGCUUUUAUUGCUUUAUUGUUUUAUUACCUGCUUCGUGCUUCAGCCUUGCUGCCUUGCCGCACCCCCCGCUGUGCAUUUGGUGCUGAGGAGCUGAGUAAUCUUCUGAGACGAGUGAGUGGGGAAGGGAAGAGGUCUGGCUGACUCCCCUGCCGUGAAGGGACUCCCCGUCACUGGAAAGGAGAGGGCUCGGGCUCCACCAGGGAAACAUACUGAGAGCCAGCGCUCGCUGAUGAGCUAAGCAGGAGAAAGCUGCAGAUUCAUCCCUACUCAUCCAUUGGCCCUGCUAAUUAGGCAGAAACACUGGGGGACAACUGGUUUUCUAAUAGGAAGACAACUAUCCAACAUGGUCCUCACUAGAAAGUUGUGUAAGGAGUUGGGUAUCUUGCCAGAUACGCCACUUAGCCCCCCGGGACCUGGAAAGAGACAAAGUAAAAUUAUAAAUUACUUCCCCAAGAGGGAGGAAUGCAUGAGUGAACAAAUUGAACCAAUUAUUGACGAAGUCACUCCUCUCCCCUUACUUACCUUGACCGGUCACAUUACUUCAAAGAGCUUCAACACAACUCUGGAAACACAAAUUCCCCAAGAAGCCUGGCGCAAGAGCUAGUUCUAGCUGAGAAACCUGUGGAAAAUAUUUCUGUCACCUAUAACCAGCGGCCCCUGGCAGAAUUAACAACAUGCCACCAAGACCAGGCGCCCACUUCCAAAUAUACUCAAACUGAACUGAGUGAUGGCCAUCUUCAGGCCCAUUUCCAAGAUAUAAAUAUAGACCUUUCCAACAUAAAAAAUUACUUGACAAUAACAAAUGGGUUAUUGCUGACCCUUGUGGAAAAUUUUAUUCCCCAACCAAAAGAGACAACAGCAACCGAUGCACCCCAAGUGCAUAAACCAGAUGAACUUGUGCAUAACCCAGAUGAACUAGUGAAGAUGAGACAAGCAGUAACAACC